UGGGGAAUAUUGCACAAUGGGCGCAAGCCUGAUGCAGCCAUGCCUCGUGUAUGAAGAAGGCCUUCGGGUUGUAAAGUACUUUCAGCGGGGAGGAAGGGAGUAAAGUUAAUACCUUUGCUCAUUGACGUUACCCGCAGAAGAAGCACCGGCUAACUCCGUGCCAGCAGCCGCGGUAAUACGGAGGGUGCAAGCGUUAAUCGGAAUUACUGGGCGUAAAGCGCACGCAGGCGGUCUGUCAAGUCGGAUGUGAAAUCCCCGGGCUCAACCUGGGAACUGCAUUCGAAACUGGCAGGCUAGAGUCUUGUAGAGGGGGGUAGAAUUCCAGGUGUAGCGGUGAAAUGCGUAGAGAUCUGGAGGAAUACCGGUGGCGAAGGCGGCCCCCUGGACAAAGACUGACGCUCAGGUGCGAAAGCGUGGGGAGCAAACAGG
rnacentral:rRNA from 1 species